AACGUCGCUGGCGGCACGCCUAACACAUGCAAGUCGAGCGGGGUAGCAAUACCUAGCGGCAGACGGGUGCGUAACAUGUGGGAAUCUGCCUUUUGGUUCGGAACAACAUGGGGAAACCUGUGCUAAUACCGGAUAAGUCCUAACGGAGAAAGUUUUAAUGCCAAAAGAUGAGCCCGCAUUUGAUUAGCUUGUUGGUGAGGUAAAAGCUCACCAAGGCUACAAUCAAUAGCUGAUUUGAGAGGAUGAUCAGCCACACUGGGACUGAGAUACGGCCCAGACUCCUACGGGAGGCAGCAGUGGGGAAUCUUGCACAAUGGGCGAAAGCCUGAUGCAGCGAUGCCGCGUGAGUGAAGAAGGCCUUUGGGUUGUAAAGCUCUUUUGUCGGGAAAGAUAAUGACUGUACCCGAAGAAUAAGGUCCGGCUAACUUCGUGCCAGCAGCCGCGGUAAUACGAAGGGACCUAGCGUAGUUCGGAAUUACUGGGCGUAAAGAGUAUGUAGGCGGCUAGAUAAGUUAAUUGUGAAAGCCCAAAGCUUAACUUUGGAACUGCAAUUAAAACUAUUUAGCUGGAGUAUGAUAGAGGAAAACGGAAUACAUAGUGUAGAGGUGAAAUUCAUA
rnacentral:rRNA from 1 species